AUUAAUUUGUGAUUUUAUUAAUUAGUAAAUAAAGUAGAAAAAGAUGCAUGACACUUGGCAAUGAGUGAGGAUUUACACUAAUCCUACACUCAAGCAUGCUAAGUAAUCUCAAUAGACACUCUCAUGUCUUCUUCUCUCUCCACCUAUACCCCCACUUGUCUUCUCUUCACCAUCACCACCGAAGCACCACCUUCUCCAUCGGCCAACACCUCAAAAUUCUUCAAAAAUGAAAUAGAGAAAUCAAAAUGCAAAUCCCCUAUAUAAGCUUCACCCUUGAAUAUGCUAAGAACACCAUAAAAAAGACUUGCCCUCUUACGGGAGAUUUAAACUCCUCCCAACUUGAUAUCAAAGGUCUCACCUUCUCCAUUCAACUAGCUUGGUUCAAUCUUGGAGCCACUUCUUGAAGGAGGUUUUUCUUUCUUCGGCCAACACUCUUUGAUAGGUAAGAAAUCUCGAAUUUCUUGCUGCAAUCGAAGGGUAUCAUAGUAUGGAAAAGGAUUUUCAAAACUACCUAAAAGAUUUCCUCAAUUUUCGAAA